rnacentral:rRNA from 1 species
CCUACGGGAGGCUGCAGUGAGGAAUAUUGGUCAAUGGCCGUAAGCCUGAACCAGCCAAGUAGCGAGAGGGAAGACUGCCCUAUGGUUUGUAAACCUCUUUUAUGCGGGGAUAAAGGUGUCCACGUGUGUAUGUUUGCAGGUACCGCAUGAAUAAGGACCGGCUAAUUCCGUGCCAGCAGCCGCGGUAAUACGGAAGGUCGGGGCGUUAUCCGGAUUUAUUGGGUUUAAAGGGUGCGUAGGCCGGUGUUUAAGCGUGCCGUGAAAUUUUGUGGCUCAACCAUGCGAGUGCGGCGGAAACUGGAGAUCUUGAGUGCGCGGAAGGCAGGCGGAAUGCGUGGUGUAGCGGUGAAAUGCUUAGAUAUCACGAAGAACCCCGAUUGCGAAGGCAGCCUACCGGAGCGUUACUGACGCUGAAGCUCGAAAGCGUGGGUAUCGAACAGGAUUAGAUACCCUAGUAGUC